AGGACGAACGCUGGCGGCGUGCUUAACACAUGCAAGUCGAGCGGUAAGGCCUUUCGGGGUACACGAGCGGCGAACGGGUGAGUAACACGUGGGUGAUCUGCCCUGCACUUCGGGAUAAGCCUGGGAAACUGGGUCUAAUACCGGAUAUGACCUCAGGUUGCAUGACGUUGGGGUGGAAAGAUUUAUCGGUGCAGGAUGGGCCCGCGGCCUAUCAGCGUUGGUUGGUGGGUAAUGGCCUACCGAAGGCGACGACGGGUAGCCGACCUGGAGAGGGUCGACCGGCCACACGUGGGACUGAGACACCGGCCAGACUCCGUACGGGAGCAGCGAGGUGGGAAUAGUUGCACAAGUGGGACGAAAGCCUGAUGCAGCGACGCG
rnacentral:rRNA from 1 species